rnacentral:rRNA from 1 species
GAUGGACGCUGGCGGCGUGCCUAAUACAUGCAAGUCGAGCGAACAGACGAGGAGCUUGCUCCUCUGACGUUAGCGGCGGACGGGUGAGUAACACGUGGAUAACCUACCUAUAAGACUGGGAUAACUUCGGGAAACCGGAGCUAAUACCGGAUAAUAUAGUGAACCGCAUGGUUCAAUAGUGAAAGACGGUUUUGCUGUCACUUAUAGAUGGAUCCGCGCCGCAUUAGCUAGUUGGUAAGGGAACGGCUUACCAAGGCAACGAUGCGCAGCCGAACUGGGAGGGUGAUCGCCCACCCUGGAACUGAGCCACGGUCCCGACUCCUACGGGAGGCAGCAGUAGGGAAUCUUCCGCAAUGGGCGAAAGCCUGACGGAGCAACGCCGCGUGAGUGAUGAAGGUCUUCGGAUCGUAAAACUCUGUUAUUAGGGAAGAACAACUGUGUAAGUAACUAUGCACGUCUUGACGGUACCUACUCAGAAAGCCCCGGCUAACUACGUG